rnacentral:rRNA from 1 species
UACGUAGGGACCGAGCGUUGUCCGGAUUCAUUGGGCGUAAAGAGCUCGUAGGCGGCCAACUAAGUCCGACGUGAAAUCCCCAGGCUUAACCUGGGAACUGCGUCGGAUACUGGAUGGCUUGAAUUCGGGAGAGGGAUGCAGAAUUCCAGGUGUAGCGGUGAAAUGCGUAGAUAUCUGGAGGAAUACCGGUGGCGAAGGCGGCAUCCUGGACCGACAUUGACGCUGAUGAGCGAAAGCUAGGGGAGCAAACGGG